rnacentral:lncRNA from 1 species
AGAACUUUGCAAGAGAUUCACACAUGUAGAAAGCAUAAUAAUUAAGUUUAAUAAAAGUAAGACAAGUUAUCAGGUCAUCAGCAAGCUUAAAUUAGAGAGCAACUGAAUGAAUGUGGGUCUAGAAUAUAGUCAGUUAACCUCCACAAUUAAAAGAGCCUGUAUUUAAAUCAAUUUAAGUCCAUAUUAUAGAGAGCAAUUAGUCAAGACAUAUACAACAUCGUGUAGGUAAAAUAAAGUGGUAACUUUCAUCAUUUUUCCAUAGGUAAAGGCAAUAUAAAAUAUCGAGAUGAGCACAUGGUCAUGUCUAUUUAUUGAAAAUAAAAACAAAUCUAGGUUGUCCUCCUAGUAGCCAUGUUAUUAUCACACAAAGGUUGUACUAAGUUGAAGGUUGAAGGCUUAUAUAUACAGACAUUUAGAAAGAGAUGGAAAAGAGAAUGUGCAAGAAAAUUUACCGUCCUGUUGAUACUUGUGAUGAAGCGUAGCGAAGCCUCCCCCAUGCUUAAGUGUUGUGCUUAGCAUGAAAGAAGAACAAUGAGCAUCUUUUGACGGUCGUAAUCCUCUUACUCCACGUGUCAUUUUCAUCUUUAUCCAGCAAGCCCUCCCCCAUGCUUAGCAUCAUGCUAGGCAUGAAAGAAGAAGACAGAGCAUCUUGUGAUCAUUAGCUUGAUGCUAUAUUUUAUAGUCUUUCGUGGUUCCCUUCUAACAUUUUUGUCUGUUAAAUGUUUCAUUUCCAUGUUUCCAUGUGACAAUCCUCUCGAGGGUGUGAUUCCAUCCUAAGCUUCAUAAUUUCUUCGUUUAUACUCAAUGGAAGCAUUGCCCAAGCUUCUCUUCAUUGUUUUCAUCUUCAUCUCCUCUGUUUAGCUAUCAUCAUAUUGCAAUCAUCUUUUCUUCAUAGAUUUUCCCCUACAUAAAGAACAGAACAUAUACCAAAGUAUAGAUCUAUUGAAAUGUGUACAAAAUUACCUUUCCAAUGAUUGGUCGUUCAUUAAAAACAGAGUUCAUAUGAGAGAGUUAUAC